rnacentral:lncRNA from 1 species
UACCAUUAUCCCUUUUAUACCUAAGAAGGGCAUGCUAAUAAUUACCACUGUCAAAGAGGCAAAGGUGUUGAUUUUUGUAUAUGAAGUUAAGCCUCAGUGGAGUCUCAUUUGUUAGUUUUUAGUGGUAACUAAGGGUAAACUCAGGGUUCCCUGAGCUAUAUGCACACUCACACCUCUUUGCUUUACCAGUGGUGUUUGUGAGUUGCUCAGUAGUAAAAACUGGCCCUUACCUGACAGAGCCCUGGCUUUGACCUGCUCAGCCCUGUGUGUUAAUCCUCUAGUAGCCAGUUAACUACUCUGGGGUGGCAGGUUCCAGAGAAUGCAGUAGACCUUUUGCCACUCAUCUGUGUUUUACUUGAGACAUGUAAAUAUGAUAGGGAAGGAACUGAAUUUCUCCAUUCAUAUUUAUAACCAUUCUAGUUUUAUCUUCCUUGGCUUUAAGAGUGUGCCAUGGAAAGUGAUAAGAAAUGAACUUCUAGGCUAAGCAAAAAGAUGCUGGAGAUAUUUGAUACUCUCAUUUAAACUGGUGCUUUAUGUACAUGAGAUGUACUAAAAUAAGUAAUAUAGAAUUUUUCUUGCUAGGUAAAUCCAGUAAGCCAAUAAUUUUAAAGAUUCUUUAUCUGCAUCACUGCUGUUUGUUACUAUAAAUUAAAUGAACCUCAUAGAAAGGUUGAGGUGUAUACCUUUGUGAUUUUCUAAUGAGUUUUCCAUGGUGCUACAAAUAAUCCAGACUACCAGGUCUGGUAGAUAUUAAAGCUGGGUACUAAGAAAUGUUAUUUGCAUCCUCUCAGUUACUCCUGAAUAUUCUGAUUUCAUACGUACCCAGGGAGCAUGCUGUUUUGUCAAUCAAUAUAAAAUAUUUAUGAGGUCUCCCCCACCCCCAGGAGGUUAUAUGAUUGCUCUUCUCUUUAUAAUAAGAGAAACAAAUUCUUAUUGUGAAUCUUAACAUGCUUUUUAGCUGUGGCUAUGAUGGAUUUUAUUUUUUCCUAGGUCAAGCUGUGUAGAAGUCAUUUAUGUUAUUUAAAUGAUGUACUGUACUGCUGUUUACAUGGACGUUUUGUGCGGGUGCUUUGAAGUGCCUUGCAUCAGGGAUUAGGAGCAAUUAAGUUAUUUUUUCACGGGACUGUGUAAAGCAUGUAACUAGAUAUUGCUUUGGUAUAUAACUAUUGUAGCUUUACAAGAGAUUGUUUUAUUUGAAUGGGGAAAAUAC